rnacentral:rRNA from 1 species
CCCUUAGAUGUUCUGGGCCGCACGCGCGCUACACUGAUGCAUUCAACGAGCCUAGCCUUGACCGAGAGGUCCGGGUAAUCUUUGAAACUGCAUCGUGAUGGGGCUGGAUUAUUGCAAUUAUUAAUCUUCAACGAGGAAUGCCUAGUAAGCGUGAUUCAUCAAAUCGCGUUGAUUACGUCCCUGCCCUUUGUACACACCGCCCGUCGCUCCUACCGAUUGAGUGUGUUGGUGAGGAGUUCGGAUUGGCUCUUAGUGGUGGUUCGCCACCACCUAGAGCUGAGAAGUUCUCCAAACCGCCCCACUUAGAGGAAGGAGAAGUCGUAACA